ACGCUCGACACCUACGGGAGCAGCAGUGGGGAAUAUUGCACAAUGGGGGAAACCCUGAUGCAGCGACGCCGCGUGAGUGAAGAAGUAUUUCGGUAUGUAAAGCUCUAUCAGCAGGGAAGAAGAUGACGGUACCUGAGUAAGAAGCCCCGGCUAACUACGUACCACGCAGCCGCCGGGUAAGUACUGAGGCGGGCGUGGCGAAGGACG
rnacentral:rRNA from 1 species